rnacentral:lncRNA from 1 species
AAAAUAUAUGAAAAGUCGUCGGCUAAGGUCAAAAAAUUUCAAAAUUUUUUAGGCGGUAAACCAAAGUUGGAGGAAAAUUUUCAAAGGACUUUAGCCGACGAAAAUAUAUGAAAAGUCGUCGGCUAAAGUCGAAAAAUUUUCAAAAUUUUACAACCAAAAUUUUUUUGGCGGUCAACCAAAAUUUUCAAAAGAGUUUAGCCGACGAAAUUCUUUAUUUUCGUCGGCUAAAGUUCUUUAUAUAGGCGAAGAUGGAUGGUAAGAAGUCUAUUAUCUGCCAGAUUUUCUUCUCGGCCUAGCUCCGCCGUCAAGCCACCGGAGACCGUCACACUAGUCCCAAAAGCUUCGCCGUCGUCUCUACUUCAUUGCUGGAUAGGUGGUGCAUCGAGUGGCGCCGCCAUGAGGGAUAAAUUGAGCUCCAAAACUCCGCCGGUUCGGAUUCGGUGUCGAUCAAAUUUCUCCUUCCUUAGGUCACCAUUUGGUGAGUUCUAUAUAUGGAUAAGUUGAGUUUGAUUAGUACUACAUUCCCCUAGAAUUUGGUAGCUCGAUUCGGUGUGUGUGAAGAGAAUCGAAGAUUUGAAGUUUUUAGGGUUUAAAAUUGGGGAUUUUUAUAUUUUGAGUCGAUUGACCUGUUUAGGCUUAGAAUUGAGCUUCGAUUUCUUCUAGAAAGUUGUUCGAAAUGUUGAGACGAAUAUUCUGUCAAAUUUUGGUCGUGAUUGGAGGUGGCCGAAAGUUUCUGUAGUUUUUUUUUCAAAACCCAGCAACUUUAGCCGACGAUAUUUAAACACUAUAUUCGUCGGCUAUAGUAUUUUUUAAUUUUUUUUAUAAGGUUUAGCCGACGAAUUAUGGCAUGUUUCGUCGGUUAUAGUUAUUUUUUUAAUUUUUUAUAAGGUUUAGCCGACGAAAUAUAGUAUAUUUCGUCGGCUAUAGUUAUUUUUUAAAUUUUUUAUAAGGUUUAGUCGACGAAAUAUAGUAAAUUUCGUCGGCUAUAGUUAUUUUUUAAAUUUUUAUAAGGUUUAGCCGACGAAAUAUAGUAAAUUUCGUCGGCUAUAGUUAUUUUUUUAAAUUUUUAUAAGGUUUAGCCGACGAAAUAUAGUAAAUUUCGUCGGCUAUAGUUAUUUUUUAAUUAUUUAUUACACACUUUAGCCGACGAAUAUAUUAAUUUUUUCGUCGGCUAAAGUCUGGGAAAAAACCGACGACAUGUUUUUCGUCGGCUAACUGUGGGACUAUAGCCGACGAAAAAAAAAUUUUGUCGGCUAAAGUCAUCACCGACGAGCUUUUCCCGACGACACUAUAGCCGACGAGCCUUCGUCGGCUAAGAUCUUAGCCGACGAAUUAAGAUAACAGGCCGACGAAAAAUUUUCGUCGGCUAAAGUGCUUGUCCUGGUAGUGUUUACCCCCUUGUGGUUUGGGGGUGACUUCAUGUUAGUCCCUACACUUUUAUUUUUUUCAGUUUACCCCUGUCUGCCGUGCUCAAAUUCUCAUAUUUUGUUUGAAUUGACCUUUAAUUAUCAGCAGUUAAGGUCCGAUUUGGACAUAUAAUGUCCAAUUUGCCCAAAUUCUAGAUACUGGCCUCACAAUUAAGGUUAAAAUUAUCAGCAGUUAACGUCUGAUUUGGACAGAAUAUAUGACAUUUGGUCACGCUUGAGGAAAAUUCAAAAGUUUGAGGGGUAAACUGAUGAAAUUGAAAGUAUAGGGAUUAACAUGAAGUUACUCUCAAACCUCAUAGGGGUAAACUAAAUUUAAUUCUUGUUCCUAAUUAAGUCUUCACAAAUAGUUGUUUAACUAAACCUCCGUUUCUAAUUUUCAUCUGUAAGUUGUGCUUUUGAGCACAAAGGAUUGCUUGUUGCACGUACAUGAUGAGAUACAUGCAAUGCGGUGAUGAUGAUAACUUGAUAAGGUAAGGUUUUAGGGUGUAUGAUUUGUUGAAACGGAGGUUUCAGAUGUAGGAUUCCGGCCAAAACGGAGGAGUGUACUAAGAAGCGUUGUUGGGAGUAUAAAUUGCUGGACUGAUUGGGUGAGAAGGGAGAGCAUAUGGCUUAGAAGACAAGAAACAAAGUUCUCAUCAGGAGCUGAGGAUGAAGCUGAGGCUGUGUACAAGAAAUGGAGAGAAGAAUAGGAAGGAGUAAGAGCUGCGAAAGCCUUAGAAUUGCCAUUUCCAGCAGGUUAAUUUGAUAUUUUGUUUCUCUGGAAAAGUUAUGAUUGGUUUGUGUUUCUGAAUGUGUGUAUGGUUGGGAAUAUAUAUAAGGGAUAUGCCACUAGUAAACCAGUAUGCACAUUUAGCUAGAGUUCAAUAUAAUAACGUAACUAACUAGCUAAUUUGUUGCUUGCUUAUUCCUGAGUUAAUUAACAAUGAAUUUGCACAUGUCGAUCAGUCACAUAAUCAUGUGUUUCAUUAAUCUAUUUGAGUCCAUCUCUGCAUGCGACUCUGAAAAAAUUGAAGUGAGUUUUUCCUAUCAUAUUGUGCGGGGCACAAUUGCAUAUCAAACUCCCGGUCCAAGACGUUUAUAUAUUUACGAAUUACGUCUUAAUUUCGUAGUUUGCUCGAAGAGACUUUGAUGGAUCUGACUUUAAUAUAUGAAAAAACCCUAGCUAGCUAGCUUCUUCACGUCCACAAGGGUUGAGAAUAUGUGUAACUAAAACUACUAAAAUAUUAAGGUGGCAAACUUUGACUGUAUAAUAGGAAAAUUAUGUUGUGUCGAGAGCAUAGCAUUGGAAACACAUGCAGAAUUUGCAUAGACCUGUGCCUCUUGUUGGACCCCUUUG